UACGUAGGGGGCUAGCGUUGUCCGGAAUCAUUGGGCGUAAAGCGCGUGUAGGCGGCCCGGUAAGUCCGCUGUGAAAGUCGGGGGCUCAACCCUCGGAUGCCGGUGGAUACUGUCGGGCUUGAGUACGGAAGAGGCGAGUGGAAUUCCUGGUGUAGCGGUGGAAUGCGCAGAUAUCAGGAGGAACACCAAUAGCGAAGGCAGCUCGCUGGGACGUUACUGACACUGAGGCGCGAAAGCGUGGGGAGCGAACAGG
rnacentral:rRNA from 1 species